rnacentral:rRNA from 1 species
GACAGAGGGUGCAAACGUUGUUCGGAAUUACUGGGCGUAAAGCGCGUGUAGGCGGCUUGGCAAGUCGGGUGUGAAAGCCCUGGGCUCAACCUAGGAAGUGCACUCGAAACUGCCUCGCUGGAGUGCCGGAGAGGAAAGCGGAAUUCUCGGUGUAGAGGUGAAAUUCGUAGAUAUCGAGAGGAACACCGGUGGCGAAGGCGGCUUUCUGGACGGUAACUGACGCUGAGACGCGAAAGCGUGGGGAGCAAACAGG